rnacentral:pre_miRNA from 1 species
AAAAAGACAAACCCUAGGUUUUCGUGUCAACGUUUGACUGUCCGUCUUAUAUGAUAAAACAUGAUUAAUAUUUUAUGCGUGACUUAUUUUUUUAAUUUUUUUCAUAAUUUUUCAAAUAAGACGGACGGUCAAACGUUGGACACGGAAACUAGGGUUUGUCUUUUU